UGGCCAUUUAAUGUUGAAACACCGGUACCCCUCCGAUCACCAAAGAUAAGCAACGUCGAUCCUGGUCAGAUGCUAGAUUGGGUGACCACUUGUGAAAAUCAGGUGCUGUAAG